GCUGAAAUUGAUGAUUACUUGGCUGAAGUGGAGUAGCUUGUUUCUGUUCUGCUGCAACUUGAAAGAUUAUCAAUUUCACUUUCCCAAAGAUAGAAAUUUCUGACAUUGGUUCUUAACAGAACUUCAACUUUUGAUGAAGCAAGAAACGAAAAUACAAUCAUGUCCGCUAAGUUUUCAUUGAUGGAAAAAAGGAAAAAUAA
rnacentral:misc_RNA from 1 species